rnacentral:rRNA from 1 species
CAAUAGCGUAUAUUAAAGUUGUUGCAGUUAAAAAGCUCGUAGUUGGAUUUCUGGUACAAUGCGCCUGGCCCGCGACCGUUAGGUCUGUGAGUGCCGGUGCGCGUUUGCCAUCCUUCUAGAAAACGUUUCUACCCUUCACUGGGCCGGACUCGCGAUCUAGAUCUUUUACUUUGAAAAAAUUAGAGUGUUUAAAGCAGGCUUUUGCUGUGAAUACAUUAGCAUGGAAUAAUAAUCUAGGACUUCGGUUCUAUUUUGUUGGUUUCUAGUACUGAAGUAAUGAUUGAUAGGGAUAGUUGGGGGUGCUAGUAUUGGCCGGCCAGAGGUGAAAUUCUUGGAUUCGGUCAAGACUAACUUAUGCGAAAGCAUUCACCAAGGAUGUCUUCUUUAA